GACGUCUACGAGUUUGAUCAUGGCUCAGAUUGAACGCUGGCGGCAUGCCUAACACAUGCAAGUCGAACGGCAGCACGGGAGCUUGCUCCUGGCGGCGACCGGCGCACGGGUGCGUAACACGUAUGGAACUUACCCUUUACUGGGAGAUAGCCCGGAGAAAUCCGGAUUAAUAUCCCAUAAUAAACGAAGUGGCAUCACUUUGUUUUGAAAGCUCCGGCGGUAAAGGAUGGCCAUGCGCACGAUUAGCUAGUAGGUGAGGUAACGGCUCACCUAGGCUACGAUCGUUAGGGGGCCUGAGAGGGUUAUCCCCCCACACUGGUACUGAGACACGGACCAGACUCCUACGGGAGGCAGCAGUGAGGAAUAUUGCGCAAUGGAGGCAACUCUGACGCAGCCAUGCCGCGUGCAGGAAGAAGGCGCUACGCGUUGUAAACUGCUUUUAACCGGGAAGAAACCCUCCGACGUGUCGGAGGUUGACGGUACCGGAGGAAUAAGCACCGGCUAACUUCGUG
rnacentral:rRNA from 1 species